GUGACAAACGAUGCUAACACGAGUCCCUGGUGCUUUCAACAACCUCCGGGGCACCAAUGGUUGAUCCCAGUGAUGUCUCCUUCUGAAGGACUUGUAUACAAGCCAUUUCCUGGACCUGGAUUUACGAGUCCUAUUAAUGGAGGUUGUGGACCUCCAGGGUCGAUGGGGAACUUUUUUCCUCCAGCUAUUGGAGUUCCUGGUCCUCAUCCUCGCUAUCAAGGAAUGGGAGUUCCUUUCGCGCCUCCAACUGGUCACGGCUAUUUUCCUCAUUAUAGCAUGCCAGUUAUGAAUCCACCAAUCUC
rnacentral:lncRNA from 1 species